rnacentral:rRNA from 1 species
ACGCUCGACACCUACGGGGGCAGCAGUGGGGAAUAUUGCACAAUGGGGGAAACCCUGAUGCAGCAACGCCGCGUGAAGGAAGACGGUUUUCGGAUUGUAAACUUCUGUUCUUAGUGAAGAUAGUGACGGUAGCUAAGGAGCAAGCCACGGCUAACUACGUGCCGGCAGCCGCGGUAAUCUGAGCGGGCUGGCAAGGC